GGGAUUAAAGGCGUGCGCCACCACCGCCCGGCCGAUUGUUAUUUUUUUAAAUGCUGUUAUCUUACAAUCAUUUUACUGUCGAGUUUGGGUCUUGGGUCAGACUUAAGAGUGGCACCCCUGCUUCGGCUAAGCGACAGAGACAACAGCUGUCAUUGCUACAGUAGUCUCAGCUUUUGUUUUUCAUUGCACUGUAGUCACAAACAACACGAGUUAAGUUUUCUUCUCAGAAAUCCCUAGGCUAGUCAGGAUGCUGAUUAAAAGCAUCUUAAGGUGAGUUUCAUAGAAGCCAGACUUGCCUGAAAAUCCUUUAAACCAAGAUGGCCAUCCAAAAUCUAAAACAUUGCUCAGAAACGAUGGAGACACCAAGGCCCAGAGAGUCAGUCACAAGCAACUUCUUGGCCAAGUCAAAUUCCAUCCACAGACCUUUGAAGGAAUAAAGGAGAUGGGAAAUCUUAGGCUGGCCUCAAACUCCUGAGCUCAAGGAUAUUCUUGCUUCAGAUUCCCAAUAGCACUACACACAUGAAUCACCAUGCUGAUGGAUAUCUCAUCUGUGACACCGCCCCCAAGAGGUCACGACCCCAGGAAUGAGAACCGCUGCUGUAGAGCUGAGACCCUGUCUCAAUACAACCAAACACAAAUAAGUGGAGAGACUGCAUCCAUCCCUGGAAGGAGAGAGAGCCUGCCUGAUACUGAGCUCGGGGUCCUGCCCUCUGGGGAGGAUCUGGAGUGAGGCAGGAGAGUGGCUGCUAGUUCAUCUUCCUCUGUACCCUGCUGUAUAGCAAAGAACUGCAGCUCAGAGAACCUCAUGGGGAGGAGGCUCUGCCUCCAUGCUGCCGGUUCCUAGGGUGCUUGCUGGUCACAGAAGUGCAGUAAAUGUCACAGGGAUCCGCUUUGAUUGGAAAAGAAGAGAAUCACUGACUGCUACCCUUCUAACGGGAGUGUCAAAGGGACCAGCUGUGACCAUAUGUGUCACCUCAUAUGAAGAGGUCUGGGAUCCUGCCCAGACCUCUUCUAGAGACUAAGGAUAGAGGUCAGGUGUCAUAUGUGGAUGGAGGAGGAGCCACAGCAGGCCGGCCUUCAGGAUCGAGAUUUGUGGCUCUUCGGGAUUUCACCUGUACAGUUCCAGCUGGCCUGGAACUUGCUAUCUAGAGUAAACUGGCCUCUAACGUGCAGAGAUCCAUCUACCUCCGCUCCUCCCACGUGCUGAGAUUAAAGAUAUGAGGACCUAUUCCUAGCCUCUACUUUUUGAGUGGCUGUAAGCUUCAACCUGGGGAGCCUAUUGAUUGGGCUCCCCCAAGAAUUUGGGCAACAGUUCUUUGUGGUAGGAAGCAUGCGGCAUCAGAAGCUGGGGUGACAGCAGGUCAUUUCUGUUCAAUGUUCUGGAGGACUGCUGUAGCCCUUCCUGUAUGGAGAAUGGUGUGUGAUGCCACCAUCUUUACAGGGCCACGAGGGGGCAGCACCUCCUCUGUGUGGAGGUCAGAAGCUACAAGGGGCUCCCUGAACUCAGGUGGGCAGCCAAGGACUGACUGCAUGGCCUGUAGAGGAGGAAGAGUCACUCACCAAGUUCUGCUCACAGAGGCCACGGAACUGCUGGAAUUUCUGGGACAUCAGGAGCUGGGCGCUGCCCACAGCACUGAGAACUUUUCCUAAGACUGAGAGAAAGGCAGAGGAAGUGGCUUAGCACACAUGGUGGUGCUGGACAGAUGCCAGCCAGCAUGGACCUGCGAUCAUGUGUGUGUGUGUGUGUGUGUGUGUGUGUGUGUAUUUGUUACUAGCAUGUGGACUGUGCUGGGGUGGAAGGGGAAUUGGAGGUCAGGUAUACAUGUCUCUGUGAGUGUGACACAUACACACACAAGUUAGUGAGUUUAUUUGCAUAUUAAUCCAUUAUUAAGGAAGACAAACAGAAGAAGGGCAGUGCUGGUCAUCCAAGCACUCAGGAGGUAGAGG